GGGAGGUGGAGCGAAGCUAAUGCUCAUAUGGAAAUGGCCUUUGAUCCUGCUUUUGCCUCCUUUUCUUCUAUCUGGGUAGACAUCUACAGAAAAUACAAAGAAAACAGAUGGGUUGAUGAUAAGAAAUUCAUUUGGAGAAUGGAGGGGGAGGGGAGAUAGAAAAGUGAAAUUUUAUCAGAUGGGUCAAAGAUAAAAAUUGUAUAGAUACCCUGAUAUACGAGGUGAAGAAAAUGGAAAGGUGAAACAACUGAUUUAAGAUUAAGAGCAAGGAAAUGAAAAAUAUAUUAAUUCAAAACUUUCGGUAAAAUUGAAUGCUUAACUAUAAGAAUAAUAUUUUUAUUUCUAAAUAGUCAUUUUGUGAUAAUAAUUUUAUUGCCUCGAUGUUACUCUAAAUCUCGAUAAUUUUGUA